UUAUUUUCACUGUGUAGAAUAUUUUUGGCGUGUUUUUCAUCGCGCAUUGUCUUAAAAAAAAAAAACAAACAAACCAACGAAAACAUUUUCUGCUGCUGCUGGUUCAUUUUUAUUAAAAUACACAUCUAAUCGAGCACCGGAUUCAAAAUCGAUGCUUACUUGUGAUGCGAGGCAUUUGAAAUUGCAGUUCUAGUCGCUUCUACCAAGCCACGGGAACGUUGAGAACACCGGACACAACCCGAAAUAAACAAGCAGGCAAACGAGGCAAACUGAACCCGUUCUCAUAGCUUCGGUGGCUGCUGCCUGAUAGUGAAGGGAGUCAGGUAAGCUGUGGACCUGGAGAGGAUGUCCGGAACGUGAUACACUCGUCUCAUUCGGCUAUCGCCUGCAUGACUAACCCCAGCUUCACAGGUACGAAGACGAGGCCAAGCUGCCGGAUGGAAAAAUGUGUCCGUUUGUGUAUAUUAUGACAUGACAUGAUGAAUUCAAUUCAAGCGAAAGUGUGUAAUUAAGAUUAAAUUGAUACAUAAUAAAAUUUUAAACACGA
rnacentral:lncRNA from 1 species